UAAUAUAUGCGACGCGUACCUUGAAAAAGGUCAGAUGAUUGGUUAGGCCAGUUAGUUGAAGCCGGGGAGAAUAAUGCAGAAAGGUCGCUUUUCUAUUUAUCCUCGGUUUUGCUAG
rnacentral:ncRNA from 1 species